GAAUUCUUUUAGCUGUGUAAUCCUGUGCUGCAGCCAUGUUUGGUCUUCUCGGGAGUUUCCUACACAUUCUCGACUUAUUGUUAGGUCAUUGCCGCGCAAUUUCCGUUUUUUUUGUUACAUCUUUUCUUUGGAAUACUUUUGGUUGACUUUUUGGUUGACCUUUUUUGGACUGAUUUGGUUUUCUACUCACCUUAUGUUUAGCCCAUCGGGGCCCCGGAUACCUGGCAUAUUUUUUUUUCCCUUUGCCCAACCGGGCUGUGGAUACCUGCCUUUUAUUUUUAUUUAUUUACUUUUUAAAAUGUGCCCUUGGGGACUGUGGAUACCUACUCUUUAUAUGCGUAUUUUUUAUUUGCCCAUCCGGGCUGCGGAUACCUGCUGGGUCUGUCUCAUCUGAAAGCCCGCCCAUCCGGGGCUGCGGAUUAGCCCAUCGGGGCCUCGGAUACCUGCUCUUAUUUUUUUUUUCUUUUUGAUUUGCCCAUCGGGGCCUCGGAUACCUGCUUUCUUUCUUUUUUUUUUUUCUUUUUGUAUUUAAUUUUGGUUGGCUCAUCGGGGCCGCGGAUACCUGCUUCCAUUUUUGUUUUCAUCUUCCAUUGAGAUGUUUUGGAUCAAAAUGUGCUGAUGUUGUGGGUUAUUGCAGUACCUGAAUGAUCCGGUUGUGUUGGUGUGUGAGCAGAACUUACCGCUUUAAGCGGGCAUGCGGGCAUGCUGGCUGUGGGCGCCAUGUUGGCCUCCCUGCAUGUGUGGGCAGAGGUCGAGUCAAUUGUGCUAAAUAUAUAUGGAGGCAGAAUGGAUGCCCCACCCUACCCCCCUGCAGAGCAGUCAUGUGCUUUGCACAAGGUAUAAGGAGAGAUUUUGGUGCUCAACCGUUCUGUAGGUGAAAGUGGAGGGCAAGGAAGCAGGGGCAGGGCUCAAAAUGGCGGAUUUGAAAAUCGCUGCAUUGUGUAGCUUGGCUUUGCCUUCUUGAACUGCACAAAAUGGCGGAUCCACUUUUUUCAAGUGGCGGGAAGGCCACGUGACAUGGCAAGUCUUUGUUCUGAAGUAGCAUGGUGGUGAUUCAUUUUGCUGUUGCAAAAGAUGGCUAAUAAAGCCUCUGCAAAAGUAUAAAAAUACUUCCGGUUUUGUUUUUGUCAUGUGGAUUUCAGGGUGGAUUUUGCUGCAGGGGCUUACCUGGUUGCUAACAGGGAGUUUGUUACAUUGUUGACAUGGCAGGGUUUUGGUUGAUACAAUCUAAAGUGGUUUUUGCAGAGGUGGUCCUGCUUUGUUUCCUUAUGCUGCCAGAGACAAAAGCCAGAGAGAAAAAUGGUUUGGCAGUGCUGGAUUGCUCCACGACCUAACCAAUUGGAAAUGCAAGUGGAAUUUAAUUGCACACAGCCAAUUGAAGCAUAUGAUUGAAUUAGACUUGGGCAAAAGAAUUGGAAAGGCUGUGCUGGUGGACCUUUCAAGGACACUUGUGUGUAUCUCUCUACAUAAGACCAUGAGAGAGAUACACUUAUGCUCUUUGGCUCCAUUUCAGCAUUUGAAGUGUUGGAAAGAAAUCAGGAUGGGCAGGAUGAAUUCCUGUUUUAUUGUGAUGGCCAAAGGCUAAUCUACUCCUUGGCCACUGAACUAACCUGCACUGUGGCCAGGUUUGUCUGGUGUGGACAAGGUCAAGGACCAAAAUGGAUCUUAGAUGGUCAUUGAGCAACAAGUGUUGGAAGAGAAACCCCUGCAUUCCUCAACAGGAACCUACCUCAUGGCUAAUGCUGGGGUCAGAUUUUGAUUUCAGUGAGAAGUCUGUGUGGCUUGCUUGUGUUUGAAUUUAAAUAAGAAAGCAAAUUUCCUGGUUAAUAAAUCUCCUUGCUGGGAGCAGUGGCACAUGCCUGUAAUCCCAGCGAUGCAAGAGGCUGAGGCAGGAAGAUUGAAAAUUCCAGGCCAGCCUGGACAACUUAGUGAGACCCUAUUUCAGAAUUAAAAAAAAAAAAAAUCAAUAAAAAGGGCUGGGAUAUAGCUCAGUGGUAGAGUACCCCUGGGGUUCAAUCCCCAGCAUUGCAAAACAAAGCAAACAAACCAGAAAACAACAACAAAAAAACCCCAACAACACCCAUAUUCUCUUUUUUAUGUGGCAGUUGUACAAUGCUAAUUGCCAAGAUAUGAUCAGAAAGUUGCUGUUAAUUUUCUUAAAAAAAAAAAUUUAAAGACAGACAUUUGGAAUUGCAAGGUGGAAUUGAUUACCUGGCCCUUAAUUAUUUUGAAGCCAAGAAUCCACUUAUACGAUGUACCCAAAGAUCAGUGUCUCUCAUUUUACUCAGAGUGAUGAGUCUGUGGACAGACCACUUUGACUCUUUGCUAUUUUAGUAUUUAAAAAGGAGUACCAGAAUACAACUCUUAAGACCAGUAUCAUUCUUACUACCAUUUUAAAGCCAAUCUUUGGGCUUUAGCACCAUGCACUUUUACGAAAACUACCUAAGCCUUCUAAUUCUUAAAUUUCUUCAUCUUGAGCACCAGCUCAGGAUUGCCAUAGAAGGAUUAAAUAAGAGGACAUGUGCUGAGGAGCUUUUGAAAAUUAAAGGCCACUUCAUUAGAUUAUUAUAUAAAAUGCACUGUUUAAUUCUGCUAGUAAUUUAAAGUAGUUUGAAAAAGCACCCUAGAGUGAGGACUUAUCUUAGAAAUGAGGGGCCCUGUUUCCCCAUCUUACAAGAAAAAUAAGCCAAGAUCUAAUCAUUUUUCUGAGCAUAAACUUCAACAGUGAGAUGGCUGCCUAGUAAAAACAAUAUCCCAGCCUCUAGUAUACAGAGUGGUGACUAAAUAUAUUAAUAUGAAACUUUUGAAACUAGUCAUCACAACAGCAGUUCCUCCUAGUCACUGAUAAAGAAUACUAUUACUCUGAGAAGGAUGUCAAAAGAUCUGCCCAUGUGAGUGCAGUUUGCACUACGACCUCUUUGGACAGCUGUAAGAAGAGAUUCUGGCUGUUUACAAUACUGAAUGAAUUUGGAGCUGGUUCUGUACGUGACUCAAGAGGAAGAAUAACUCCUUUUAUAUGGCCACAUUGAUGACUGCUAGAGAACAUCGAAAGGACAUUCAGAGCAUGUGAGAUUUGAGGACUGCAAGCAGCUUAAAGAAGCUACACAUUCAGCAGACCUUCCCUUUUGAGAGUCUGGACAAGCACCAGAUGUUCCUCAGAAGAACAGGCUUGUUGCUUUGCAGUGUUAGUGACCUUUUCCCUUUGACGAUCCCCAGGUGGAGAUGGGGCAUGAGGAUCCUCCAGGGGAAAAGUUCACUGCCACUGGGCAACAACCCUGGGUCAGGAGAUUUUACUAAGAUUCUUUCCUGGGUCCAGAUAGGAGGGUGAAGACUCAAAGACAACCACCGCACAUCAAGAUGGAGAACAUGGACAGCAACUACCACUGCAACAACACUGAUCUCCUAAGCAAAUCAUUCUGUUCCAUGUGGUCCUCAAAAUCUCCUUUGAAGCUUUACAGGGGAACUGUGCCAGGCAUUCACAGACUUCAAGAUGCCUUGGGAUAUCCAUGGGAUGUAACAUACAAUUAGCGGUUUGAGAAGAUAAAAGAGAACUGUAUCUCUGUAUGCUAUGCAUGCGGAUUGGCAGAAGACUCAUAAGUACAACUGGAAACCUGACCAAAAAUGGUAUAGGUUAUCUCACAUUGGGCAGCAUCUACAGAACCAGGACCCUACACUCUCUAGCUCUCGAUUGAUAAUAUCUGACAAACCAUUAUCCUUCCGAAAAGCAGUACAGAGAGCUGGAUCAUCAUCAGGAUUAAGAAAUGAGAACACAUCAAAGGGAGCCAAGUUUUCUACCUGAAGAUCAACAUGCCUGACACUAGCAUUUCAGAAUAGCAGAAUUAAGUAAGCUGUUGGGGUUGCAAUCCUUCCUUCUUAGUCUCCUCCUGUGAUGGUCUGCCUUUGUUUAUCUCUUUCGCUCCUAAGUGUGCAUUUCUUUGCUUGUCUAUUUCUUCCUUGCUCUUUCUUCUCUAACUCGAGUUGUGUCUGAAUCAGCUCCAUGUUUCUCUUGCUGAUUUCUUCUGUGUGUGCCUUGUCUCACUUUCUUUUUUUGUUCCUAAGUGUGGUCUGUGCACUGUCUUAAAUGGAUCUCUCUAGUUUUUGUUUGCUUGCUAUUGCUCUUCGCUCGCUAUUGCUCUUCGCUCUCCUAGAUCUCUCUCUCUCUCUCUCUUUCUUUUUCUUCCUUUUUUCCUCUUUGAGGUCAUAUGCUUUGUGCUUUUUUGCCCUUUUCUUAUUGUGCCUACCUUGCUUUUUGUCUUGGUGCACUAUGUAUUUGUCUUUUUGUCUUGGUGCACUUGGUAUUUGUUACCUUCUCUCCUUUUUGUAAGUUGGACAAUUCACCUUUUUCUGAUUCUGGUGUCCAUUCUGCUCCUUAUCUCACAUUUCUCUUUGUUAUAUUUCCUCUCUGCCUCUCUAGUGCUAUUUUCUCCCUUUUCGCUCCUGUGUAUACCUCAGUGUCUCUUUGUUUGUGAUUUUCUAUUUCAGCAUUACUCUGUUUGCUUGUGUGUCCUCUCUACUUUUUCCUUUUCUACUCAUCUUUUUCAUCUUUUGAGUAUUUCAGCCUCUUUGUGAGUCUAUGUUUCCCUCUCUCUGACUUCAUGUAAUCCUCUCUUGGCUAUUUCUUUGUGUAUACGGGCUAUGUGCAUAUGUGUGCAUGCUUCCUAUGUGUGGCAGAGGGGCUUCCUAACCCUUUCCCAAUAGGUUCAGAAUGUCAGCUAUCAAAAUCAGCAUUGCAGAGCUGUUCCUUGUGCCAAGCUGCCCUGUGAGAUGAUCCAAUACCAAAAUAUGGUCCUGGAAUCCAGACUGAAGUUAAAACCCAAAACCUAAGAUGGACAAAAGGUAGAAGCCCCAAAGUGGAAGACAGGUGGUUUGAAACUUGAGACUCAGGACUAAGAUGAAAAGCCCAUGUCUCAAGAUAGAUGGAAGUCUCAAGUCUGACAUAAGACCAAGGUCUUAGGUUUGAGGAUUUAAGACCCACGGGUGGAAGACCCCACACCCAAAUAAGAGCAAGGAUUCAAGCCUCCUUACAUGGACGGAAGGCCUAAGAGAAACAGAUCCCUCAAGAAUAAAACCUGGAAACUGGAGGUUCCAGGUUUCUGAUCUGGAACUCAGGAAGGACAGAAACCUCAACACUGGGGAAAUACCAAGAUGAGGACCCUAAACCACAAAUCUUUUUCUAUUGCUAUUCUGCCCACUAUUGGGACAUUUUCAAUAAUCCCCCUUCCAGAUAUCUUAUUUGCAUGAAAGCCUGAUUCUUUUGAGAUGUACUUUUUGAUGUUGCCAUUUACCUUAAAGGAACAUAUCUUUAGAGUGACAAUAUUAUGCAUAGGCCAAUCUUGAGCCCAUUUUGAAGCCAUUCAUUAAGAUUUAAACCUCCAUUUCUCUUCACAUCUACUUCCAGUCAAUAUGUAGUCUGCCUUUUGUUACAUCAUUCAGUAGAAAGCUUCCAUAUGGACACUAUAUUUCAGUUCUCCUUAACUCAGAAGCCUUAGUUUGAUGAGAAAAGGGAGAGAAACUGCAAGGCUAUUUAGAGAGGACACCCAGAUGUGACAGCCUUCUGAGAACUACCAGCCAGCAUCACCUUCCUGCUUUGACCUUGGGUGAGCAGGAUUCCUGGGGUUUGGAAUUUCUAGUAAUAUCUUCGAAAGGGGUGAUUAGGCCUGAGACAGAGUGAGAUCUGAACUCCCUACUCAUAGUAGUGGCCAAAGAAUUUGGUGGACUCUGUCAAACCUACUCCUGGGUUUGACCUAUACCUCUAGUCUUAAAGAUGAGAGAAUUUGGAACUAUUUAAUCUUCUCCUUGACCCCUCUCCCUUUUAUGAGGUGAACUGAUUUAAAUGAUUGAUAAUACGUACGAAUGCACUGUAAUUCACAAGACAAAAAAGGCUGUACGCAUUCAUAAUGGACUGGCAAUCAUGCACAGCUGAUAUUUCAAAGUACAAUGUUAAGUGGUAAAGCAUUGUGUAAAUCGGGUCAUUAUGAUUUUUCUGUAAGGGGUCUAAUUGUGAAUAUUUUAGAUUUCAUGGGCCUCUUCUAUAUUCCUUAAAAUGUAAGAACCAUUCUUAGCUUGCAGGUCAAGUGGAUUUGGCCUGCUAGCCCAUAGUUUACCAAUUUCUGAUGCAAAUGCCUGAGAACAUGUCUGAAUAAUAUUAAUUUCCUUCUCUAUGCCUAUCCCUGUGCUACUAAGUAUGCAGGGGCUUAUUCAUGAUCACAUCCAGGUGACAUGAAGAAAAAAAUAAGAAUGUGCCUUGUAAACUAUUAAGCACAUGAGAACUUUAAGUUUCCGUGUUGAUGAAUUAAUGUUCAUUACUUAUUAUAUGCAUUCUACAUGAGAUGCACCGUAGAUACAAAGAUUAAAAGAAACCAGGAACGGUGGCUUAUACCUGUAAUCCCAGCUCUUUAGGACGCUGAGACAGGUGGAUCAUAAGUUCCAGGCCAGCCUCAGCAACUUAGUGAGACCCUGUCUCAAAAUAAAAAGACAAGCUGGGGAUGAAUAAACAAGUGCUUUGUCAAAAGAAUACAAUACUACGUAGACAUAAUAAGUUUUCAAUAAACGAAUAAUUUGAAUAUCAGGUCAAUGUGUUUCCACUGCUUUGAUGAUUCUGAAUAAAAAUAUAGUACUUCAGAGAACAGAAAAAACACGGAAACUCCUCUUAAUCUACAAAAUAUACUCCAAAUACAAGUGAUUAAUAAAUUGUCAUCACCAACCAGGUGAUGAUCCCAGUGGCUCAGAAGGCUGAGGCAGGAAGAUUACAAGUUCAAAGCCAGCCUUAGCAACUGAGACCCUGUCCCUAAAUAAAUAAAUAGACAGACGGACAAAUAAAUAAAUAAAAACGGCUGGGGAUGUGGCUCAGUGGUUAAGUGACCCUGGAUUCAAUCCCCAGUACCAAGAAAUUGUCCUUACCUAAAAUGUACCAAGAACUCUAGUUGUGUUCCAAAACACACUUAAUAUGAUUUGGAGGUGUAAUAAAAAAACUAUAAAUGAACGGAUAACUCUUUGUAUCAAAGAUACCAAAGUAGGACAAAAUAUAUUUUCGCUGAACUAAAAUUUUCAUAAAGGAAGUGCAUAUUAAAGUCCUCUGUAAACUGAAGCACUAUGCAAAUAUUAAUAGGCUACCUGUUUAUGAAUAUGAACUGCCUCUUCCAUACUAGCUAUUGUUUUCGGUCCAUGGUAUCCAUGAUUAAUUCUCACAUGUAAUAAGGGGAACAUUAAUGCUCUAUGCUAUUCAAGUAUGAGAAAUGAGAUGAUACUUAAUUUACUAUUGAGGUCAUCUUAAACUAAUGCCAGUCUAUUUUCCCAGGUUAGAGGAAAGGCUAAUGAAUAUGAGUGCAUUCUUUAAACUAUAAAGCACUCUGAAAAGAAGACAAUAGAUGGUUUCUAUAUGAAUGAAACAACUUAUUUAUAAAAUAAGCAUUGUCUUUACAAAAUUCUCAUUGUGUACGCUUGACCCACAUUGAGAAGGGUGGUAUAAUUAUAAAACCCAGGCCAGGUGGCAUGUUCCUUUAGUACCAGCAUUCAGGAGCCUAAAACAGGUGGAUCACUUAAACCCAGGCACUCAAGGCCAGCCUGAGCAACACAGUGAGACCCUGGCUUAAAAAUAUACAACCAAGGGUUUAAAUAAUGAAAUAGUGAAUAAACAUCAAUUGUCUACUAUCUUAUCCACUGUUAUGGGCACCGAAGAAAGAUUUACCAUAUUUCAUUGUGCCCAGAGCUGAGAAUAAGGAAAUAUGUUGGCAUUUUGUGAACUCUAAAGCACCAUAUAAGUAUAGCUAUUGAUUUUCCAAUUUGGUGCUCCAUGCCAAGUUUAUAAUUCAGUUAUUAUACUAUGCUAAUACAUUUUCAAAAUCCAAGGACUGUUAGUUAUUUAACACUUAACAUCAUAUGUAAGGCAUUCAAUGCCUGAUGAAUGCAAGAAUGGAUGGUAAUCAUCUGUUAGGUUCCAGUGUUCUUGCUUGGCACUGAGAUGCAAAGAUAUACCAUCUUUAUUCUGUCCUUGGUAGCAGAAGAAAUUAUGUAUAGUCUGAAUUUAUAAUUUUUAAACUGCCAAACAUGCAUAAGCAAUAUCUUUUGAAUUAAUAAUGAUUAUAUUGCUUAUUUGUUUUAUGCCCAGAGAUAGCAAGUGGGGUACAAAAAUUCAUUAUCUUUAUUAAUGAACCUGUACAGAGAUCUGUGUAUAUAUUUAUAAAGCCUACAGCUCUCUACAGAGAGGAGUUAAAUGUUGGCUUAAUCAGUAAUCAGUGAUUACUUUCUGUGAGGUUCAGAACCGUAUCCCUUAGAAUAGCAAAAUCAUUUUAUCAUUAUGGAGUACUCACAGGAGAAAAUGAAAUAACAAAUGUGAUAUUCAGAUCAAAGGGUCAUGUAACCACUCACUACUAAGCUUAUACAAUGAUGAAAAUGGAGAAAAUAGAUUUGUAUAAGGCAGUAUGCUAAAUGCUGAGCUAAGUAGAGGGGUAAAAUCCCAUCUACACUUACCACCUGGUUCAGUGGAAAAGGUGGGAAAACAUUUCCUGAAAAGCAAGGUAUGUGAUUUUUCCACCCAGUUUCUUAAAUAUUGAUUGAAUGCUGAUGAUGGACAUGAAUUAGAACCACCCUGGCCUGGCUCAGAGAAAGUAAAGGAGUGAAAGAAAAUAGCUUACCUGUCUAAUUAAUCUGACAAGUAAAGCAUCUUUUAUGUGGAAUGUGCCACUCUAGGUCCAAAAGAUAAGUGAAGUGAAAUGGACCUAGUCUAAAGGACAUUAGGUCACUGAUCACAGCACCAGACAGACAACACCUCUUUGAUUUGAUUAUUAAAUAAAUAAUAUUUCAGUGCCUGAUCACUGCAAGGCAUUGUGUUCAAUGAAUUAGUAAGGAGGUCUGGCUCAGAAAACCCAUUAACUUGCCUUGGAGAUUUGAGAAAACACAGAAAAAAAGGGCAAGAUUCCUUCAAUGUAACAUGAAAUAAAAUAAAGACAUUUUUCCUACUUCUGGGAAAGAGCCAAAGACACUGGCUUGUCGACCUCCUUUAAAGCCUGAAGACUGAUAAAAGGGCUCACAGUUUGAACUUAAUGAAUUAAUUAAACAAACAUAGAAUGUUUUCUAUAAUUAAGUGAUUCAAAGGAGAAUAAAAAUGAAAACAAUGGUUUUUAGAAAUAUUUACUCAUUGCUUGGCUUAGAAACAGGAAGACACGUGAGCAAUAAAAAAGGAUUUUCACAUUUACCAUAUUUAGCAAAAAUGUAUUAAAACUGAAUAAAGUAUUGUUUUUAAGUGCUCAGUAGAACGAGGACAUUUUUAAACACCUAAACUAAAAUGCACUCUUUAUCUCAACAGCAUGUAGUGGAAACACAAGAACACAUUUAAUAAGAGACUACGGUUCUUUUUUACUUGAAAAAAACUUAUCAAACAGUUGUGAUAUGAAAGACACUGAGAAGGAACAACUAAGUAGAUUAACUUCUCAUUGGCAUGCUUGGUACAGUGGGAAUAACACUUUAUUAUUAUGGGCUUUCUGUUUUUUCAUUCAGACAUAUCACUGAAGAUGAUGCUAAAAUACUAAAUGAAAUAGAUGUGUUCCAAAACACACUUAAUGUGAUUUGGAGGUACAAUAAAAAAACCCAUAAAGGAACUGAUAACUCUUUGUAUCAAACAGAAGUAUCUAUUUUGUCAAGCCAUUAUGUUAAAACUCAGAAAACAAAAAAGAGCUUGACUGAAAGACUGUGAAUUCUUUUUGAGAAUGGACAAUCAAUAUUGAUUCAUUUUCCUCAUUUGUUUAUCCAUUCUACAGGUAUAUAUGGGCACCUAUUGGAUGUAAGGUCCUUAGGUUGGCCCAGACAUUAAACAAGAUGCUUGCCUUUCCAGAGGAUUUCUUAAACUUUGCUUCUGGCAUGUUUUCUGGCUAAGGGCAUGGCUAAGUCCCCAAAUAAAUAACAUUGUGUAGUUUUAUUCCUCCCCAACACCUCUUCUACCAUUCUGGCCACUAUGAUGAGCAGGUAGCUGGGUUCUGUUAAUGAGCUUAUUCCUUAAGUUGCUGGUAUCCUCCAAUAUAGAAGCUACUUCAUUUUCCAUGCCCAUGCCUCAUGUAAAAUGAUUAUGACCACUACUGAGGAGAGAUGAGAGCCAACUAAUUCCCAAACCCCAGUCUCCCAAACCCGUCUCAUUGUUAUCUACACCUUGGGGAACCACCCAUACUUAUGUCACAACUGCUUUUGAAUGAAUUUGUCUGUUUUCAAAUCUUUACCCCUAACAUGCUCAUGCAUGUACAUCCCCUAAUAGAUUUCUUUCAGAAAGAGUCCUCAGUUAGCACAUGAGUAAAAUGUAGAUGGAGACAUGAUUUUUCCUGGAGCAGUUCUCCAUACUCAGGAAGGGCUUGUUAUGGCAGAAUAUUGUCAGUAGAUGAGAAGAGCUUAAAUUUUUACUAGGCUUGCUUAAGUUUUAAGAACAAUAAAAAUUGGGAAAAAAAAUGGAGGAAAAAGACCAAAAAUAAAAACAACAAAUAAUCCUCUAAAUGCAUGCCUGGCUAGGUUUUGGCCUUUUCCAUUUUUAAAUCACUCACAGAGGGUGGGACAGGAGGAAGAGUGAAGGAAAAGGUCAAACCUGUGUCUAAGGGCAGCCUCCAUUUGUUCUGAAUUGGCUUGGGAGCAUUACUAGCUCCUGGCCUCAAUGAAUUAAUGUGACCCCUGAUGGUUUCCUUAACCAAAAUUUGCUGUGAAGGAGGUGGACUUUAUUGUUCAUACUUUCAAAACAUCUAAGCAGUGUUUACAUGGCAAGUCAGCACUGAUACCCAUAAAGGGAAAAGGAAAUAGAUAAAUGGUGGAGGGAGCAAUAUUAAAAGGAAUUUGGGAGUGACAUUUUCUAGCUUUGACUAUGUACAUUUUUAGUUAGAUACAGCUGAAAUAGUAAUAAUGCUCACUUUUAAAGUGUGGCAUCAGCCUGACUCAGCAACACUUUUCUCUUUAGGUGGGGGGUGGGGGACAGCUACAGGAAUGUGGAAAGAGAAAAGCCUUCCUUCCACAGUUCCUGCAUUCCUGAGCACAACUCAUUAAAUAAGAAAAAGCAAAAAAAAAACCUUUCCCCUCACCUGCUUUUAUAAUGUUAAUGAAGCUGCCCAACAAACCCUUUUUAAAGGAAAUGGCUUCAUCUACAUUCUUUAAAGUGAAACCAAGACACCUGGGCUGGCCAACAGGUGUGUAAGACCACUUCUGUCAGAUCUUUUGUUUAGAAGCUUGAAAAAUGUUGCUCAGACAGGAUGAGCACCCAAAAGCAAUCCUAAGUAACCCUUAUUAUACAAACUUAUAAGAACUGGAAAACUGUUUCAACUGUUUGAACUGUCUGUUCACUGUUAAAUAAAAUGUUCUGGUUUUGAAACUUUUA